GACGAACGCUGGCGGUGUGCUUCACACAUGCAAGUCGAACGGAGUAGCAAUACUCAGUGGCGGACGGGUGAGUAACACGUGGGAAUCCACCAUUAGGUGGGGAAUAACAGGCCGAAAGGACUGCUAAUGCCGCAUAUGUAGGCAUCUCGACAGAGAUGUUUAUGAAAGGAGUAAUCCGCCUUUUGAUGAGCCCGCGUCCGAUUAGCUAGUUGGUAGGGUAAAAGCCUACCAAGGCGACGAUCGGUAGGUGGUCUGAGAGGAUGAUCACCCACAAUGGGACUGAGACACGGCCCAUACUCCUACGGGAGGCAGCAGUGGGGAAUUUUACGCAAUGGGGGAAACCCUGACGUAGCGACACCGCGUGAGCGAAGAAGCCCUUUGGGGUGUAAAGCUCUGUCAACAGGAACGAAACAAAUGACGGUACCUGUGGAGGAAGCAUCGGCUAACUACGUGCCAGCAGCCGCGGUAAGACGUAGGAUGCAAGCGUUGUCCGGAUUUAUUGGGCGUAAAGAGUUCGUAGGCGGUUUGUUAAGUCUGAUGUUAAAGACCGGGGCUCAACCUCGGAAAUGCAUUGGAUACUGGCAGACUGGAGUGCAGUAGAGGCUAGUGGAAUUCCCAGU
rnacentral:rRNA from 1 species